rnacentral:tRNA from 2 species
CGGGACGUGGCGCAGCCUGGUUAGCGCGUCGGCUUUGGGAGCCGAAGGUCGCGAGUUCGAAUCUCGCCGUCCCGA